UGGGCAGCACGCUGUAGUACAGUGGUUUGCAGCUGAUCUAGGUCAGAAUUUGAAUUCUGAUAAACAAGCUGUGCGCGUUUUCUUGUUGCCGAUUUAAAAGAAAAGCCUUUGUAUCAUAUAAGCAAUAAAAAUAAGUGCUGGACUAUUAACUCUAUUCUCGCUACAGACAUUUCCAUCUUCAUGAUUAACAUCUGGGUUGCAUUCAAAUCAACAAAUUCAAAAGACCCGCCUUUGGUGAAGACAAAAUUUGUGGUGCUUAUGUACACAUAUAAAGAGCUUAUAUCAGAGGAUAGACUGCUUCAUUGAGAGCCCUUGUGAGCCCUUUGUGGUUCUGAAUAAUAG